rnacentral:rRNA from 1 species
UGUAAGCGUAUACCAAAGUUGUUGCGGUUAAAACGCUCGUAGUCGGAAUUUGGCAGUUCCGGAUGUGUGCACGUCGUGUGCGCACUUCGCGGGGAUUGCUUUUGUGGUCUUGCGUAGGAUGAGGCACUUUUAUUAGUGAACGUCCUCACGCAACCACUUUUUACUGUGAGAAAAUCAGAGUGCUCAAAGCAGGCAUUUGCCGUGAAUGUAUUAGCAUGGAAUAAUAGAAUAGGACUUGGUUCUAUUUUGUUGGUUUGUUGGGACUGAGUAAUGAUUAAGAGGGACAGUUGGGGGCAUUUGUAUUUCGGUGCUAGAGGUGAAAUUCUUAGAUUACCGAAAGACAAACUGCUGCGAAAGCGUCUGCCAAGGAUGUUUUCAUUGA